rnacentral:lncRNA from 1 species
ACCAGCCAUCAUGAGUUGUGAUAUCAUAUUCUUCUGUACAAUCGUUCAUCCGAAUUUGCAGAGAUACCAUAAUGGAGUACAUAAAAGAAGUCUCAAAAUUGGGUGAGACUCUGUUUGAAAUACUAUCAAUGGCUCUAGGACUGAAGCCUGAAUAUUUGAAAGAUAUGGGAUGCUUCAAUUUAUACAGCGUUAUCUGCCACUACUAUCCGCACUGCCCACAGCCAGAGCUGACUUUGGGAGCUAGAAGGCAUUCUGAUCCUUCAUUCCUUACAAUUCUGUUGCAAGACCAAAUCGGUGGCCUUCAAGUCUUUAAUGAAAAUCAGUGGAUUGAUGUUAACCCUAUAUCAGGAGGCUUGGUGGUAAAUAUAGGGGACUUUCUCCAGGUUUGUCUUUGAAAAUAACGGAGACAAUUAAUCUUCCCAUCAUCUGCUUAUUUUUCGUGUUUUAAUAGUAACUAUAUAUGCUAAUUUAAAGUUUUCAAUAAUUAAUCAAUUCAGGUUGUAUCAAACGAUAAGCUCAAGAGUGUUGACCAUAGAGUUGUGGCCAAUGUUCAUGCCACUGCAAGGGUUUCCGUGGCAUGCUUUUUCACAGGACACACCACUGAAACGCAGAAGCCCUUUGGGCCGAUCAAAGAGUUGAUCUCUAAAGAAAAUCCGCCUGUUUACAGAGAAUUUCUAGUGGGAGAAUAUUUCAGCAAAUAUUUUUCUAAAGAACUUGAAAGCAAGUCUGCUGGCCUCAAGCAGUUCGAGGUUUGAAAGUAGCAAUAUAUUUGAAUAGAGUUCUUAAAUGUUGUGUAAUCAAUAAAUUGAGGAUGUACUGAGGUUAAUAUCUGCCCUUCCGAAUAACUUCAAACUACAUGCAUGUUUCAAACAAGGAUAAUAAUUCUCUUGUGAUUCAAUUUUUUUCUUUUUUCUUUUUUUGUGUAAGAUUCAAGAAGCAUCCUAUCAAUUUGGAAUUUUUUUAUGUUCUCAUGCUAAUUUAAAAAUAAACAAUUAGACUUAAUGCUCAUAUAUAAUUAUAUAUGAUCUACUACUGAUAUUUUUACAAGAUUGAACUUUAGUGUAUCAUUAAUUAAAAAAAAAUUAUUAUGUACUGAAAUCUUAAUAGUAUGGGUUUUACUAAGUUAUAUAGAAUGUAACUUACAAUAAACCCAAAGUUAAUUAUCCAUAACCUUUUGCUUGUUUCACAUAUUAUCAUUCUCUUGUAUUGAAAAAUUAUUUUUGAAUUGUUGUAAAUUACAUAUAACCUAACUUAGCAGCUACCCAUGUAUCAUUAUAAAUAUAUUCUGUUACACGAGAUCUUUGAACUAUACAACACAAAUUAGCAAAAAAUUUGGACUUGAAAAAUGAAAUAACUGAAGCGGUUGAACAUGAGCUGUAAUGCUCAGGGCUACCCAAUAUGCUGGACUUUUCUAAUUCCAACAUCGGAGUCAAAGGGUCAACAGAUUAGGCAAUUGAUUAAGGCCUCAUAUUUAGUUACUAUGCAUUUAGUCAAACUUUUUUAUUUGUAAAUUUUCUAUCCUCAGUAAUUAUAAAGCAGCAAACGAUGUAUAUUAAUUAGUUUGCAAAAUAAAGGGCCUAUUUGCAAUUCUCCUGUAUACAGUGAAACGUCUGUGCAAGAUUUCAUUGCGUACUGCAAAUCAAGAGGGCUUUGAUGGGAACUCUGCUCUCACACGUUUCAAGUUGCGGAGGUAAGUUAACCACAGAUAGGAGGUUAGGUUGCCGUGAUUAACGGAUUGUUUACCCAAGUGGAUGGUUGUGCUGGAGCCGUACUGAUGCGCACUGACAUCCAUGUGCUUCUCAACACUUGAUGUUUGCUUUCACUUGUCGAAGUUGGAUUUGAAAAAGAAAAAGCAGAUGUACGAAAAGGGUCCAGCCACAGUUCAACACCCCCCUUGUAAAUUUUCUUUAACCCCUUUCACUCAUUUUUAUUUAAAUUUUAUUUCACAAAUAUUAAGUUACUUCAUACUGCAUCCAUAUAAAUAUUUUAGUUAGCACUAUAUACUAUUUAUUAUUAACAAAAUUUUAUUUUAUAUUACACAUGUAUCACAAUGCCCCCUCCCUUUAUAAUUUUGAGAUCAAAUAAUUAAUCGGAUCGACCCAAACCCUCGAACCCGACCCGGACUUCAUUUCCAUUUUCGGCCACUCCACCGGCCAAGGUUGGUACCAAUUGGAAGCUCGUGAGAUGCCGGUCAUCUCCAUGCCAUCCUCGUUGCCGGAAGGCUUUCGGAAAGCCGCCGUCGACCCGACCCUGAUUCCGAUUUCGUUUUCGGCCACUCCACUGGCCAAGGUUGGUACCGAUCGGAAGCUAGUGUGACGCCAGUCAUCGCCAUACCAUCCUUUUUGCCGGAAAGUAUUCGUAAAGCUGCGGAAUCGCCGCUUCAAUUCGCCACGAUUUUACUAGUUUUCGGUGACGCCACCACUUGAGUUUUGUUUCCCAUAAAUCUCUCUGUCUUUUCCGACCAACCACAGCCACCGGAGGAGUCGUUAUCGGCCGUUGAAGGAUUUAGGGAUGCAGUAGAAAGUAACUUAAUAUUUGUGAAGCAAAGUUCAAAUAAAAAUGAGUAAAAGGGGUUAAAUGAAAUUUUACAAUGGUGCAGCCAAAAAGACAAAAGAGAUGACAUGGUACCGCUGUGGUAUAAUAGCUUAGUCCGUACGAAAAACCAAUUAGGACGUCUAUUUACUUCAGGAAUUAAAAUUAUUUGAAUAUCUCUGCUGUAAGCAUAGCAUCCUUGAAUCGUUGACUGCCAGUGCAAUGGUGUGAUCUCUAUCAAGCAAUAAGUAAGCUUGAUUUUAAGCCAGGCCGUUUACCAAUUAUAACUAUCCAAUGUUUAUGCUCAUUAAUUAUUUGAUACUUAGUUGAAAAGUAUUAACAUAGGCCAUAAGACUACCAUCUAUGUUCAUCAUUUUCUUGUAGAAAACAGACGAUGGAUAUCUCAGAUGCCAGUAGAACGACCACGCAAACUGUAACGGACUACGACAGAGCUAAAGAGGUUCAGGCUUUUGAUGAUACAAAAGCCGGUGUCAAAGGAUUAGUGGAUGCUGGAAUUGUGAACAUUCCGAGGAUAUUCAUUCGACCACCUGAGGAGCUUGUCGAGGAGUUGACCAGUCAUCAGACCAAUUUUCAAGUACCGGUUAUCGAUCUUGAUGGCGUCAGAGGCAAUAACCUUGAGGAGAUUGUUGAUCAAGUUCGGGCUGCAGCAGAGACAUGGGGCUUCUUUCAAGUGGUGAAUCACGGUAUUCCCUUAAAUGUGUUGGAAGAGAUGAUUGAAGGGAUAAGCAAGUUUAAUGAACUAGAUGUUGAGUUGAAGAAAGAGUUUUAUACACGUGACCAGACAAGAAAUGUCAGAUUCAACAGCAACUUUGAUCUGCAUUACUCACGAACAGCUAAUUGGCGGGACACGUUGACAAUUUCUACCUUAGCUUCCACCAAUUUAGACCCCAACGAAUACCCAGAAGUUUGCAGGUACAUACUUUGAUCGCUGGCUAUGUAUAGCAUUAUCUCCCAACAUCUGAAUCCGACUGAUUGUUUAAUAUGCAAUUGGAUACACUUUAUGGAAGGCAUUGGGCUUGCUACCACAAGUUCAAAUAAUAAGUUCCUUUGGAGCAAAAUUUGUUGAAGUUGAAAAAGAAAGUCUUAGUUGGGACGAAUAGUUGCUGCAAUAUGCUGAGGUUUUUUCUCAUGCUUGGGUUAUUAAGUUUGUUUAUUGAAUGUGAAAGACACGGUCUGUAAGCAUGUUCUUGUUCCUGCUAAUAUUUCAUUUAAUGUUUCACUAUUUGCUGCUGCAAAUGAGCACCCUACUUUAUGCUCACUUAGGCAUUUAAUCAAACUUCUUCAUAGAUAUUAUCAAACACCUGUGAACUCCUUGUAAUAGACGUGAAAACAAACCAUCAACAGAAAUCAUCAACCAACAACUACAAGAGCAAUUAAUGUGUGGUUCAUUGAAUUGGCUUAUGUACAUCUAAGUUCCUAGCAUUCGAUAUCACAAAAUUGUAAUUCUAAAUGAAUCAACAAUUUUGCAUUUUACAGGUCUAUUGAAAUUAAUUAAUUCGUGAUCACAGUGAUAUUUUUUUCUUUUUACUUUUUUCUGUUAAUACCCAAUUGAUUGUAUCUUCUCCUGUGCCAAUUGUUCUCACAAAUUUGCAGAGAUGCUGCGAGAGAGUACAUUAAAAAUGUCACAAAAUUGGCUGAAACUCUGUUUGAAUUAUUAUCACUGGCUCUUGGGCUGAAGGCUGAACAUUUACUAGAGAUUGGAUGCCCUAAAGAAUACAUCCUUCUCUGCCAAUACUAUCCACCUUGCCCUCAGCCAGAUUUGACAUUGGGAGCUACCGGGCAUUCAGACCCUUCAUUUCUUACCAUUCUUCUGCAAGACCAAAUCGGCGGCCUUCAAGUCUUUCAUGACAAUCAAUGGGUUGGUGUUCAACCCAUUGUGGGAGGCUUAGUGGUAAACAUAGGGGACUUCCUCCAGGUUUGUCUUUCACAAUUGCAAUGACUAUUUUUUCCACCAUCAUGCCAAUCUUCAUCAAUCAUCACGACACUCAUGACUAAUUAGCUGAUGGUGUCUUAAAAUUGAAUCAGAUUAUAUCAAACGACAAGUUCAAGAGUGUUAAACACAGAGUAGUCGCCAGUCAUGUCGGUCCAAGGGUUUCCGUGCCAUGCUUUUUCAUGGGACAUAAUGCAGAAAUCCCAAAGUCUUAUGGGCCGAUCAAAGAGUUGACAUCCGCAGAAAAUCCUCCUAUUUACAGAGAUUUUCGUGCAAGUGAAUAUUUUAGCAAACGAUUUUCUACGGUGCUUGAUGACAAUUCUCCCCUCCAUCAGCUCAAACUAUGAAGCUGGCAAUAUUUGUAUAAAUUACUCGUAUUUGGUAACAACAAUUUACAAAUUGCGGAGUCCUGUUGUGAACUCUUUCCCAAUAAUUCCGAAAAAAAUAUGUUUUAACUAAUUAAUAACGUAUGAAUCAUCCAAUGUUGCUCUUUGAUUUCUUCAAUUAUUAGAAUGUCCCUACUGCACUGCAGUUCCCCAAUUAGUGUCAAAAUUGCUCAGCCAGCGCUCGUUGUAAUGCUUCGUUUAUUAUUUGAUAUGGAUUAAACGAUUGUUUUAAUCAGAUCAUGAUUCAAGGUCGAUACGAUCACCCUAAGAUCUUGAUUGACCACUAAUGAUGAAAGAAAAAAGAACACAGACUAUCUGAUUUAUGCACUAAACAAAAACAAUCAAUUGAGCACCAAGAACCAGAUUUACGUGGUUCAAUGGAGAUGGCUCAUAUUCAAGGAAGAAUGGGGUAUCAGGAUUUCAUUAAACCUUGAUGUCAAAUUAUACAAUGACACUACAAGUUGCUUGGAACAAGAUGAAGUGACUUUCUCUCUCUAAUUCUUAUAUCUACAGCAUGUAUGAGAUCUCAGUAACCAUGAUGUUGAUCAGCUUGUCAUAACAGCAACAGCUACGCACCAGCGCGACGGGGACCCGGGGAAGAAAAAAAAAACUGUUCCUGUUUGACCAAUUUGACUUAGGUGGCCCAGGUGCGUUGCACGUGAUUACUCAGUACAACAUCAAAACGACAGAAUUCUUAGCCGUUUCACGCUUGCAUUUUUAACGCCAAACGUUACCCUUUUUUUCUCUGUUUCAAAGGGCAAACCACAGGCGUUUUAAUUUGCAGCCUCCUGAUUUGAGAUCUUAUGUCAACGCCGUCGUAAUCCUUACUCCUUAGUCGAUCAGACACCUCAUUCUCUUAUCCUUGAGAUUUAUGAUUUUGCUGUCCCAUGAGCGUAAUAGUUUGGUUUUUUUUUUUUUUUUUCAAUAAAACCACCAAGAGGUGUGGUUAGGUGGACCCCCUGUCUAUAAUGUAAAUGAAUAAUAAAGUAAAUACAUGAGAAAGACAUAAACCAAAAUCUCCUAAAAUAAAUAUAAAUAACACAAGAAUAAAAUUAUCAAAAGGAAGAUAAAAGCCAUCAAUGCUCGCCUCUGAGGUAAGGAACAACAUGCACAUCCAAAUGGAGAGUGCUAGAUACGUCAGCACGAAGAUCUUGAGAACAUAAGAAAUGCCGACUAACCUAAUGAGUGUAGGCUCGAUUGGCCAAAAAAUGGGCAAUAAAAGUAACCCAGAGAAGCACAUGCCUAACAAAAAUAGGAGAGGAAGAUGUCAAAGCACACACCCGACACAACAAAUAAACAUAAUCCCAACGAACAGGACCCUGGGAAUGAAUCCCAGAAAAACUUGUGGCCGAGUCUGACUCUAUGCACAGAGUAACCAAGCUAAGUAGCAAGCUCCAACAUUUCACAAACAACCAUAAGCUCAAGAUAAAAAAUUGGCUGACAGCCAAGAAAAGAUUCAAAAGCAGCUAAAAUCACACUUCGAUGAACUCAUAUAAUACCACCUGACGCAGCCAUUCCAGGAUUGCCCCUAGGGCAACCAUCCACAAUCAGUUUUGCAAUCCCAAUAAGCAGCCUCAUCGAAGAAAGGUAGUAGUUUGUUUAUUUAUUUAACUUUCAUUGGUUUGUGAUUUUUUAGAUGGACUUCAAAUAUGAUACGUCUAUGCAAGUCUCCAUGGAUAUUGAGUUGGACUUCAAAUCUCCAUGCAUAUACUGGACUUAUUGUUUCUAGAAUCCAGAAAAAGUGUAACUAUUGGCAACCCUCUAUAAUCCUUAUAAAACCUGUCUUCUAUGACAAUUACAUUAAAGAACAACAUAAAUCUAACUAAAUUCUUUCAUUUUCUUUCUCUAACUCUUUAUACCUAUAGAACCAAUCCAAUGUUUUUCUUUUUUUUUUUUUCAAACAAACACUUUGUGUUUUAAUUAUUCUUAAUCUACAAAUAAUUUCUCACGCUUAUCGAUGAUCUCCUCGUCCAUUUUCAAUUUCUUGUAUAACCUUGAACAAUAAAUUUUUUUAAAAUUACAGAUAAUCCACUUUUAACCUUAGUUAAUUCCAACAUACGUGAUUUUACUUUUAAGAGUUAAAUAUAUAUAAUUUAAUCGUUAAAAAAGUUGUUCGAGAAACAUAUAUUUGGAGUUGAGUGGAAGAAGUUGAAAAAAUAGAAAAAAAAGAUAUUUAAUAGAAAAGGGACUUUAAAAGGAAAUUACAGGGUGCUAAUAGUCCUACUUUCUUAGACAAAGUAGAGGAAUGGGCAAAUCUAGAUCAAUUCUUUGUAGAGUUAUUGUGUAGAAAUGUGUCAAACAACGAUGCAAGAUAAUAACAAAUAAAGGAGAGAAAGAAAAUGUCACAAAAGAAUUUAUGUGGUUCAAUAAAUUGCCUACAUCCAAGGCAGGGAGAAUUCAAAUAUCCACUAAUAUGACAAAGGUGGAAUACAACUAUCUCAAUGUUACUUCUCAAAUUCUCAAUACACCUUUUUUUCUCAAUUCACAAGUAUCAAAGAAAGAACACUCAAGUUAUUUGAAUUCCUCAAAUAGGAAUUGAACCUCGCAAAUGCUUACUGGAAGCUCUUAAUUAAUGCUUAUAGGAAGCUCACAUUUGUUUUUCUUCGAUACUUAAACAAAUGGAACCAUGAGCUAUUUAUAGCCAAUUUGCAAACAAUGGCCACAUUAUUUUAAUCCAAAGUGGUUACCUAACUUGGCCAUUUUUUUGCCAAAAUGCUCCACUAACAACUAUUUAAUGGCACCUACUUUGGCCACUAUCAAUUGUGGGCUUACUUUUACCUAAUUGCUCCACUAACAAAUGUUGAAUCGCUAAAUGGAAGCCACAUCGCCAACAAUCUCCACCUUGGCUUCAAAUUUUAUGUCGUCAACAUUUCCUACUGGAGCAAUUAGGUAAAGUAAGCCAAAAAUUGAAAGUGGCCAAAUUAGGUGGCAUUAAAUAAUUGUUAGUGGAGCAUUUUGGCAAAGGAAAUGGCCAAGUUAGUUAACCACUUUGGAUUAAAAUAAUGUGGCCAUUGUUUGCAAAUUGGCCAUAAAUAGCUUAUGGUUCCAUUUGUUUAAGUAUCGAAGAAAAACAAUUGUGAGCUUCUUACAAGCAUUAAUUAAGAGCUUUCAGUAACUAUUUGUGAGGUUCAAUUCCUACUUGAGGAAUUCAAAUAACCUGAGUGUUCUUUCUUCAAUACUUGUGAAUUGAGAGAAAGGGUUAAUUAGAAAUUUGAGAAGUGAGACAGUUGUAUUUCACAUUUGUCAUAUUAGUGGAAAUUUGAAUUGUCCCUCCCGUGGAUGUAGGUACUUUUUUUUUUUAAUCUCUUUUUCUUUCUUUCCUUUAUUUGGGAUCUAUAGUGUUGGUAAAGACAGUGUUGACAAAUGCUAAAGUUGAAGUUGAAAAAUUUAAUGGAACCGACAACUUCAGUAUGUGGCAAUGCGAGAUAAUAUCAAAUAAAGGAGAUAAAGGAAAUGACACCAAAAAAAAAAAAAAUUACGUGGUUUGGCAAAUUGCCUACAUGCAUGGGAGGGAAAAUUUAAAUGUCUAUUAAUAUGACAAAGGUGGAAUAGAACUCUCUCAAGCUUACUUCCUAAAUUCUCAAUACACCCUUUCUCUCAAUUCACAAGUAUCAAAGAAAGAAUACUCAAAUUGUUCGAAUUCCUCAAAUAGGAAUUGAACCUCGGAGAUAGUCACUAAAAGCUCUUAACUAAUACUUUUAGGAAGCUCACAAUAGUUUGUCUUCGAUACUCAAACAAAUGGAACCGUAGGCUAUUUAUAGCCAAUUUUUCAAACAAUGGCCAUAUCUUAAUCCAAAGUGGUUAUCUAGCAUGACCAUUUCUUUUACCAAAAUGCUCCAUUAAUGAUUAUUUUAUGGCACCUAAUUUGACCACUAUCAAUUGUUGGCUUACUUUCCCUAAUUGCUCCACUAACAAAUGUUGAAUAGCUAAAUGGAAGCCACAUUGCCAAGUGCCAACAAUAGUGAAGCUCCUAACGCUAUUUUAAAACUGUAGGAAACCCCACUUAUUAUAUAUAUAUAACUCUUAUUUUGAUGAAAUUUUUAGAAAGGGACAAAAGGUCAUAAUAGAGUUUAAUUAAUUAACAAACAAUUUUUUUAUAAUAAAAACAUAUAAUUUUUUACUAUAUUGCCACAAAUUUAUGUUGUUUUAAAAUAAUUAUUUAUAUCAUGUAAAGAUUGAGUUCAUGAUUUAUAAAUAUAAAAAUAUUUUAAUCUAGUUAAAUUCAUAUUUAUUAAUAUAAGGUUUUAUGAUAAUUUUUUAAAAAGUGCGCAACGACUAUUUAAAAACUAUUUCAUCAAGCCACGAGGACAAUUAAUUGGACCUUUUUAAUGUAAAAUGCCCAAUUUUGAAAAAUUCCAGCUAAGUGGCAAAACUAAAAGCAAUGCCUUGAACAAUUUGGCACCAUGGCCUCCCUAGGUUUCCUUAAUCUACAAAUAUUAAAGCGAACCAUGAAUUAUUUGUCUCUGUUUCCAAGUAUUAGGUAGAAUUAAUGUACUAGGCAUUUUAGCUUAGGAAAUCCUCUAUAUAUAUAUAUAUAACACAAAAAAAUCAAACACGUGAUUUGAAAAUUUUUAAAAGUAUUAAAAAUGUUUAGAAAUAUAUAAUAGAUAGAUUCAGCCCAGGAUAUCGUAUGAUAUUAAUGACAACGAGACAAAGGCUUGAAAAAUCAAACAUGAAAGACACAUUUCCCCCCGGCAAGAUGCCUAAUAUUUACAAUGCUUUGGUAGUUAAGAGUCGAGACACAACGACAUGAAAAAUCAAAGCAAAUGAUGAUGUGUUUCAAAAGUUUAUCUUUUCUGUGAGUGAAAGGACUCGAUAAAGUAGAAAUCGAACGACGACUGAUCUCUGGUAAACAUCUAUAGGUACGCAACAAAUAUUUACCAACUAACUAAAUUAAGAUUAUGUUUGAGAAAUCAAACAUAAUUUGGAAAAUAAUUAGUGUUGCAAAUAUUUAUCCUUUCUGUGAUUGAAAGAACUCGAUAAAUAGCAACUCAAUGAUAAUUGAUCUCUGGUAAAUAUCUAUAGGUGAACACAGAUACUUGCCAGCUAACUUAAGAUUAAGUUAGUAUGAAGUAUAUAUUUUAAAAUAUACCAAAAUUUCCAAGUAGUAUCCCAAUAUUUCUAAUCCAAGUGCUGACCAUUCAAUAGAUGAAUGCCUCCUCACUUAAGAUGAUUAGAGGUAGAAAAAUGAUAUUUAUUCAUAAUGAUUAAAGAACAGGCCAUAGAAACAAUUAUAAAACCAUAUGGCAUUAACGUGUUUUUCAUUAAUUUUUUUAAUUAAUUGUAACACCAUAUGGUGUUAACUUAUUUUUAUCAUUAUCUUUUUUCAUAACUGUAGGACCAUAGAGUAUUAACGUGUACUCUAUAGCCAUUAUGAAAUAUUUUCCUGGAUGAUGAAUAUUAUUAGGUAAGAUACUGUAAAAAAACAAAAUGAAAAUGAUAAAAUAAUCUAAUCAAGAUCGUUCUCAAUCAUACUCUAAAUCUAUCAAAUAAUGUCCCUUAAAGAAACAGUCCACAAAGCCUUCUUCUAGAUAUCAAUGUUUAUUACUCCAAAAUUUUUCCUGAAAACGCAGUUUAAAGAGGAAAAAAAAAAUAGUGGGAAACAACAAUAGAAUCUGUGAAGUUGACAACAAUUAUGGCAUUUUCCAGUAAUUGAGAAAUUUAAUCAUAAGUAAUAUAAGAACUUUCUCACAAGUCAUGCCGGAUAUUACUGUAUUAGAAUAAAUAAGCCAUUAGAUGCCCACAAUCGUCAUCGUUUUCUUGCAGGAACGGAAAAUGGUUAUCUCGGAUGACACCAAAACAUCUUCUGAAAAUGGGUCGGAAAUCGACAGAGAGCGAAAGGUUUUUGAUGAUACGAAAGCCGGUGUCAAAGGACUAGUGGACGCUGGAGUAGUGAAUAUUCCCAGGAUAUUCAUUCGACAACCUGAAGAGCUUGCUCAGGAGUUGACCACUCACCGGACCAAACUACAACUGCCAGUUGUCGAUCUUGAUGGCAUCAAAGACAAUAAACUUGAAGACAUUGUUGAUCAAGUUCGGGCUGCGUCCGAAACAUGGGGCUUUUUCAAAGUUAUUAAUUAUGGGGUUUCCUUAAACCUGAUACAAGAGAUGAUUGAAGGAGUUCACAAGUUUAAUGAACAAGAUGUUGAGGUGAAGAAACAGUUCUACACACGUGAGCCCACGAGAAAUGUUUGAUUCAACAGCACAUUGAUAUCUAUCACUCACGAACUGCAAGUUGGAGGGACACGUUGGCUAUUUUUAUUUCGGGUACCAAAAGUUUGGAACCCAACGAUAUGCCCCAAGUUCGCAGGUAAAUGUAUAAUCGAUCCUGUCUCUGUAUAUAUAUUGCUGGUUAAUGCAGAGCCUUUUUUGUAAUGUUGAGUGCACUGCAACCAAUGAUCAUGAGUGGUGAUAUCAUAUUCUUCUGUACAAUCGUUCAUCCCAAUUUGCAGAGACACCAUAAUGGAGUACAUAAGAGAAGUCACAAAAUUGGGUGAGUUCUGUUUGAAAUACUAUCAAUGGCUCUAGGAUUGAAGCCUGAAUAUUUGAAAGAUAUGGGAUGCUUCAAUUUAUACCUCAUUGUCUGCAACUACCAUCCGCACUGCCCACAGCCAGAGCUGACUUUGGGAGCUAGAAGGCACUCUGAUCCUCAUUCCUUACAAUUCUGUUGCAAGACCAAAUCUGUGGCCUUCAAGUCUUUCAUGAAAAUCCAUGAAAAUCAGUGGAUUGAUGUUAACCCUAUAUCAGGAGACUUGAUAGUAAAUAUAGGGGGCUUUCUCUAGGUUUGUCUUUGAAAAUAAUAGAGACAACUAAUCUUCCCAUCAUCUGCUUAAUUUUCGUGUUUUAAUAGUAACUAUAUAUGCUAAUUAAUGUUUUCAAUAAUUAAUUAAUUCAGGUUAUAUCAAACGAUAAGCUCAAGAGUGUUGACCAUAGAGUCGUGGCCAAUGUUCAUGCCACUGCAAGGGUUGCUGUGGCAUGCUUUUUCACAGGACAUGCUGCUGAAGCGCAGAAGCCCUUUGGACCGAUCAAAGAGUUGAUCUCUGAAGAAAAUCCACCUGUUUACAGAGAAUUUCUAGUGGGAGAAUAUAUGAGCAAAUGCUUUUCCAGAGAACUUCAAAGCAAAUCUGCUGGCCUCGAGCAGUUCAAGCUUUAAAAGCAGCAGUAUACUUGAAUAGAGUUCUCAAAUGCUGUAAAUUGAGUAUGUACUAAUGUUAAUAUCUGCCCUUGCCAAUAAUUUCAAACUACAUGUUUCAAAUAAGUAAGAGAUUUUAGAGUAUAUUAGAAGUACUACACUUAAUUAAUUGUUAAUUAUAUCUAAUUAAACUACACAUGCUAUAUAUAUAUAUAUAUAUAUAUAUAUAUUAAAUGUAGUACUUUUUAUGUACUCUUGACUCCGUUCCUGUGUUUGUAGCAUCUUAUAUCUAUUGACAAGUUGAAAACUGUAGAGCACCGUGCUUAUAUCUAAUGACAAGUAAGCAAAAGAUCUAGACUGUACAGCACCGUGCUUUGGCAAAUCAUAUUGGCCCCAGAGUAUCUGUGGCUUGCUUUUUCACACCACAUCCUUAUCUGUGGCUUGCUUUUUAGCCAAGUGGAUGGUUGUGCUGGAGCCGUACUGGUGCACAUUGACAUCCAUGUGCUUCUCAAUGUUUGCCUUCACGCGUCGAAGUUGGAUUUGAAAGAAAAAGCAGAUGAACGAAAAACCAAUUAUGACGUUUAUUUACUUCUGGAAGGAAAAUUAUUUGAAUAUCUCUGCUGGAAGUUAACAUCCUUGAAUCCUUGACUGCGAGUGCAAUGGUGUGAUCUCUAUCAAGCAAUAAGUAAGCUUGAUUUUAAGCCAGGCCGUUUACAAAUUAUAACUAUCCAAUGUUUAUGCUCAUUAAUUAUUUUUGAUACUUAGUUGAAAAGUAUUAAUAUAAGCCAUAAGACUACCAUCUAUGCUCAUCAUUUUCUUGUCGAAAACAGACAAUGGAUAUCUCCGAUGCCAGUAGAACGACCACGCAAACUGUGACGGACUACGACAGAGCUAAAGAGGUUCAGGCUUUUGAUGAUACAAAAGCCGGUGUCAAAGGAUUAGUGGAUGCUGGAAUUGUGAAUAUUCCGAGGAUAUUCAUUCGACCGCCUGAGGAGCUUGUCGAGGAGUUGACCAGUCAUCAGACCAAUUCUCAAGUACCGGUUAUCGAUCUUGAUGGCGUCAGAGGCAAUAAGCUUGAGGAGAUUGUUGAUCAAGUUCGGGCUGCAGCAGAGACAUGGGGCUUCUUUCAAGUGGUGAAUCACGGUAUUCCCUUAAAUGUGUUGGAAGAGAUUAUUGAAGGGAUACGCAAGUUUAAUGAACAAGACGUUGAGUUGAAGAAAGAGUUUUAUACCCGUGACCGGGCAAGAAAUGUCAGAUUCAACAGCAACUUUGAUCUGCAUUACUCCCGGACAGCUAAUUGGAGGGACACGUUGACAAUUUCUGCUUUAGCUUCCACCGAUUUAGACCCCAACGAAUACCCAGAAGUUUGCAGGUACAUAAUUUGAUCACUCUCUAUGUAUAGCAUUAUCUCCCAACAUCUGAAUCCAACUGAUUGUUUAAUAUACAAUUGGAUACACUUUAUGGAAAAGCAUUGAGCUUGCUACCACAAGUUCUUAUAACAAGUUCAUUUGGCGCAAAAUUUGUUGAAGUUGAAAAAGUCUUAAUUGGGACAAACAGUUGCUGCAACUGCUGAGAUUUUAAGUUAAUUUUUAAGAAAUUAUCAUUCUACCUUAAAUUUAAUAAAUUGAUGGUUUUUCUCAAGAAAUUAUUUGCUGCUGCAUAUGAGCACCCCACUUUAUGCCCACUCAGGCAUUUAAUGAACACUUCAUAGAUAUUAUCAAACACCCGUGAACACCUUGUAAUAGACGUGAACACAAAUCAUCAACAGACAACCGACUAUAAGAGCAAUUUAUGUGUGGUUCAUUGAAUUGGCUUAUGUACAUCUAAGCUCCAAGCAUUCGAUAUCACAAAGUUGUUCUUCUAAACGAAUCAACAGUUUUGCAUUUUUACAGGUCUAUUGAACUUAAUUAAUUGGUGAUCGCAUUGAUAUUCCUUUUUCUUUUUCUUUUUUUCUGUUAAUCCGCAAUUGAUUGUAUAUUUUCCUGUACCAAUUGCUCCCAAAAAUUUGCAGAGAUGCUGUGAGAGAGUACAUUAAAAAUGUCACAAAAUUGGGUGAAACUCUGUUUGAAUUAUUAUCACUGGCUCUUGGGCUGAAGGCUGAACAUUUACAAGAGAUUGGAUGCCCUAAAGAAUACACCCUUCCCUGCCACUACUAUCCAUCUUGCCCUCAGCCAGAUUUGACAUUGGGAGCUACCGGGCAUUCAGACCCUUCAUUUCUUACCAUUCUUCUGCAAGACCAAAUCGGCGGCCUUCAAGUCUUUCAUGACAAUCAAUGGGUUGGUGUCCAACCCAUUGUGGGAGGCUUAGUGGUAAACAUAGGGGACUUCCUCGAGGUUUGUCUUUCACAAUUACAAUGAAUAUUUUUUCCACAAUCAUGCCAAUCUUCAUCAAUCAUCACGACAAUGAGGUGUCUUAAAAUUGAAUCAGGUUGUAUCAAACGACAAGUUCAAGAGUGUUAACCACAGAGUAGUCGCCGGUCAUGUCGGUCCAAGGGUUUCCGUGGCAUGCUUUUUCAUGGGACAUAAUGCAGAAAUCCCAAAGUCUUAUGGGCCGAUCAAAGAGUUGACAUCUGAAGAAAAUCCUCCUAUUUACAGAGAUUUUCUUCCAAGUGAAUGUUUUAGCAAACGAUUUUCUAUGGCGGUUGAUGACAAUUCUCUCCUCCAUCAGCUCAAGCUAUGAAGCCGACAGUAUUUGUAUUAAUUAUUCGUGUUUGUUACCAACAAUUUACAAAUUGCGGAGCCCUGUUGUGAACUCUUUCCCAGUAAUUCCGAAAAAAAUGUUUCAACUAAUUAAUAACGUAUGAAUCGUCCAAUGUUGCUCUUUACUUUCUUCAAUUAUUAGAAUGUCCCUCUGCACUGCUCCUUAUUAGUGUCAAAAUUGUUCAGCCAGCGCUCAGUACAUAUACUGGACUUUUUAUUGUUUUUAGAAUUUAGAAAGAGUCCGACUAUUGGCAGCCCUCUAUAAUCCUUAUAAAACCCGUCCUCUAUGAUAAUACAUUAAAGAACAAAAGAAAUCUAACUAAACCCUUAUAUUUUCUUUCUCUAACUCUUUACACCUAUAGAACUGUUAGGAAUAUUCUAGAAAGCUCCAGAUUUCUCCAGUAAGCUCAAGAUUGCUCAGGUUGUUGAGAAGCUCAGCUGAUGCUAAGAGAGUUAGUUAACACUCACGUGUGUGUGUAAGCCAGCAUGGCGUUAGACUGUUAUAAAUUGUACAGCUGUCAAAUUGUUAUUGGUGAUACAUUAGUUAAGUUUGUUAUGUAAGUGUAAUAUAAAUACUAGCCUCUGUAUUACUUCAUUCAGUUAAGUAAAAUGAAACAAACUUUCUUUCUUUCUCUAAUAUUUUCUCUUUGAUUGCUGGAAACCGAAAACUUUAUAACUUUCACAAGAACCAAUCCACUGUUUUUCAUAAUUUUUUUUUUCUCACAAACACUUUGCAUUUUUAUUAUUGUCAUUCUACAAAUAGAUUCUCACUCUUAUCGAUAAUCUCCUCAUUCAUUUUCAAUUUCUUAUAUAACCUUGAGCAAUAAACUUUUUUAAAACUAUAGAAAAUCCACUUUUAAUUCUAGUUAAUUCCAACAUACAUGAUUUUUUUUAAAGAGUUAAAUGUAUAUGAUUUAAUUGUUAACUCACGUGUGUGUGUGUGUGUUAACUCACGUGUGUGUGUAUAUAUAUAUAUAUAUAUAGCAAGUCACGUGUAUAUAUUAUUGGUUGUUAUGUGUUUCCUAGUUUGAUAGGAUUUCCUUGUGAACUAGGUAAUUCUUAUUUAGGGUAAUUCUUAUCAACUAAUGUACAUAUAAAUAUUGAUCAAUAGAGAACAAAGAGAAGGACAAAAAGGGUGGUUUUCCAUCGUGAAUUUCUUCAUGGUAUCAGAGCAUAAUGGAAGACCAAACAAAAACAAAAACAAAAACAAAAACAAAAGAUAAAGAGGCUAGCGGAAGUGGAUUGGGCAAGACAGUGAUGUCUCCUUACUUCCUUUCGGCCAAUGAUAAUCCUGGAACUAUCAUCACUUAGGUGCAACAUGAAGGAACCAACUAUGACGAGUGGGCAAGGGAUAUGCGGACUGCAUUGCACGCCAAGAAGAAAUUCGGUUUUGUUGAUGGAAUCGUGAAACAGCCUGCUGAUGACUCGGCUGAUUUGGAGGAUUGGUGGGUGGUGAAUUCAAUGUUGGUUUCCUGGAUACAGAAUACAAUUGAACUGAACCUGCGAUCUACUGUGACUUAUACAAAAGUUGCUAAGUUGUUGUGGGAUGAUAUCAAGGAACGGUUCUUUGUUAGCAAUGGACCAUGUGCGCAACAACUCAAAUUUGAGUUGGCAAAUUGCAAGCAGUGAGGUAUGACUAUUUUGAAUUAUUAUGGGAAACUCAAGAUGUUGUGGGAAGAAUUGGGUAAUUACGAACAAUCGCCUGCUUGUCUAUGCGGUAAUUGUACGUGUAAUCUAGGCGCGGAAUGAGAUAAGAAAUUAGAUGAAGAAAAAUUGCAUCAAUUCUUGAUGGGUCUUGAUGAAGCCCUGUACGGUGGUGUGCAGUCUCAUAUUCUAAGCACCGAGUCGCUGCUAAAGUUGAACCGUGCCUGUGCCAUAGUCAUUCUGAAGGAGCAGGUUCAGUCAAUGACACGUGCUAAAGAAGAACAGAGUGAACAUGUAGCAUUUGUCGUUCAAGCCGCGCAUGGAAUAUGACAACCUGGAUAAGUCUUCUGUACUUUGUACCCAUUGCAACAAGAUUGGACAUGAAGCAUCUUCUUGUUUCCAGCUUAUUGGGUAUCCUGAAUGGUGGGGUAAAUGGCCAAAAGCCAUGAGGAAUGCAGGUUGUGGUCGUGGCAAUUCACGACAGAAUGGUGGAAACAAUGGGCGUGGUCGUGGAGGUCCUGCUCGGGCCAACGCUGCUCAAGUCGCGACAGGGUCUAACAGUCCGUCUGAAGAACUCCUGGAAUCAGCCGCAAGCGGUCUCAGCGGUUUGAGCAGUGAACAAUGGAACACAUUACUUAAUCUUUUGAACAGUAAAAAAGACAGCACCUCACGGAUCAGUGGUAAGCUUAAUUCAAUGGAGUGGAUUCUUGAUACUGGGGCCUCACAUCACAUGACAGGAAAAAGAAAAAAUCUUAUGCGACAUUGUAUAUAUUAUUCCCUGUUCUAUUUAGCUGCCUGAUGGAAACACGACAAUGACAAAUACAGAAGGAACAGUUGUACUUGCUAGCCACCUGCGACUGAAUAAUGUUUAUUUGUGCCAAGUUUAACUUGCAAUUUAAUUUAUGUAUCGCAACUGAUUCGAGAUGCCAAUUGUUUUAUUCAAUUUUCUGAUCAAUUAUGUGUGAUCCGGGACCGCAUUACGAGGAUGCUAAUUGGAGCGGGUGAGCAACGAGAGGGACUCUAUUAUUUCCGGGACAUUGGUUCGGCCGCUGCUCUGUUUAGUGUUACCAACCGAGCUUAUGAUUUAUGGCAUCAAAGGUUGGGGCAUCCUUCUUCUAAAGUUGUUCAGUUGCUCCAUUUUAUUGAUUCGGCUUAUUGUCUGUCUAGUUUUCAGAAUUGUGAUAUAUACUUUCGAGCAAAACAGUGUCGUGGCAAAUUUGUGGGGACUUUAUCGCACAGCUAAUUCUUGUGGUGCUCAUUAUUUCUUGACUAUUGUUGAUGAUUUUUCUCACGGUGUUUGGACAUAUCUGCUAGUCGCGAAGAAUGAGGUUGGGCUUGUAUUACGCAUUUUUUUUAGUAUGGUCUCUAGACAAUUCCAUAAACUCGUUAAAAUCAUACGGAUAGACAAUGGGACAUAAUUUAUGUAUUUAUCUGAUUUAUUUGCUGAGCAUGGCAUUCAUCAUCAGACAUCUUGUGUGGGUACUUCUCAACAGAAUGGUCGAGUCAAACGCAAGCAUCGACACAAUCUUAAUGUUGCUCGUGCUCUGCGCUUUCAGGCUUUCUUACCAGAUGAAUUCUGGGGUGAAUGUGUGUUAACUGCUUGCUAUUUGAUCAAUCGAACACCUUAUGUUCUUCUUGACGGACGAACUCCUUAUGAACGACUAAAGAUUAUGUCUUGCAUACUGUUCAGCAUUUGAGUCCCUCUUUGCGGCCCCAUUCAUGCUCACAUGCUCAAUCACUUCCUGCAGGUAGUCCUUAUCCCAUACUUGAUUAUGUGAAUUGUAAUAAUUUUUCUGCUCGACAUUGUGCUUUUCUAGCAGCGAUUACUGUAGGAGUUGAGCCUGCCUCUUUUGCUGAGGCCAUGAGAGAUCCUAGAUGGCGUGAGGCCAUGAAGUCUGGAUUGCAAGCUCUGGAAAAUAAUAACACAUGGACUGUUGUGUCUCUACCACCUGGAAAACGUGCCAUAGGCUGUAAGUGGGUGUGCCGGAUUAAGUACAAUGCCGACGGUACAGUUGAAAGAUACAAAGCUCGCUUGGUGAUCCUUGGGAACAAGCAAGUUGAAGGAAUUGAUUACACAUAGACAUUUGCUCUUGUUGCAAAACUUGUUAUAGUUCGAACUUUUCUGGUUGUUGCUGCGGCUAGGAAUUGGGAGCUUCAUCAGAUGGAUGUUCACAAUGCUUUCUUACACGGUGAGCUCAAUGAAGAAGUUUACAUGCGCCUACCGCCUGGUUCCACCUCAAACAAAUCUGAAAUGGUUUGUCGUCUAAGAAAGUCAUUAUAUGGAUUAAAGCAAGCUCCACGUUGUUGGUUUGCAAAGUUGGCAGCGACUUUGAAGACUUACAGCUUUGCUCAAUCGAGCUUAGAUUAUUCUCUCUUUACCUUGUAUCGGGAUAGCAUACAUAUACUUGUGAUUGUGUAUGUUGACGAUAUAAUUGUUUCGGAAAACAACAGCGAAGCUAUUCGGGUGUUCAAGAUGUAUUUGAGUGAUUGUUUUUAUAUGAUAGAUUUGGGUCCAUUGAAAUAUUUUUUGGGUAUUGAAGUUGCAAGAAAUCCGACAGGAAUCUUCCUGUCUCAGCGGAAGUAUGUGUUAGAUAUUAUCUCUAAGGCGGGACUACUUGGUGCAAAACCGGACCCAUUUCCCUUGGAACCGAAUCAUCAGCUAGCUUUGGCCGAAGGCCUUUAUUUUUCUGAUCCUGUGAAAUAUCGACGACGCUUAGGCAGAUUAAUUUAUCUUUCCGCUACACGGCCAGAGUUGUCCUAUCCAGUUCAUAUGCUUUCUCAAUUUAUGCAGCAGCCGCGUGAGCGACAUUGGGAAGCAGCUCUGCGGGUAGUUCGCUAUCUGAAAAGUAACCCUGGUCAAGGUGUGCUUUUAAGAUUAGAUUGUGACUUGCAACUUUAUGGGUGGUGUGAUUUUGAUUAGGCAAGCUGCCGUCUAUCUCAGCGUUCUUUAUCUGGGUGGUUUGUCAUGCUUGGAUCCUCUCCUAUAUCUUGGAAAUCUAAGAAACAACACACAGUUGCGCGGUCUUCUGCUGUGGCCGAGUAUCGUGCCAUAGCAACAAUUACAUGUGAGCUCAAAUGGCUUAAAGGGUUAUUGAUGUCUCUCAGAGUUGAUCACUCACAACCCAUGCACCUGUAUUGUGACAGCCAGGCUGCUCUUCAUCUAGUUGCCAACCCCGUGUUUCAUGAACGGACCAAGCACAUCGAAGUUGACUGUCAUUUUGUUCGAGGCGAAAUUCAACGAAGAAACAUACGGCCUGCCUAUGUGUCUACUACUAUUUAGCUAGCUUAUAUCUUCACAAAGGCACUUGGCAGCAAAGAGUUCGAGUUCCUUCUUCACAAGUUGGGCAUUCGUGAUCUCCAUGCUCCAACUUAAGGGGGGGUGUUAACUCACGUGUGUGUAUAUAUAUAUAGCAAGUCACGUGUAUAUAUUAUUGGUUGUUAUAUCUUUCCUAGUUUGAUAGGAUUUCCUUGUGAACUAGGGUAAUUCUUAUCUAGGGUAAUUCUUAUCAACUAAUGUACAUAUAAAUAUUGAUCAAUAGAGAACAAAGAGAAGGACAAAAAGGGUGGUUUUCCAUCGUGAAUUUCUUCAAUAAUCAUUACAAAAUUUGUUUGAGAAACUGAUAUUUGGAGUUGAGUGGAAGAAAUUAAAAAAAUUAGAAAAAGGACAUUUUGGAAAUUAAAAUGUUGAAAGAUACAAAGCUCGCUUGGUGAUCCUUGGGAACAAGCAAGUUGAAGGAAUUGAUUACACAUAGACAUUUGCUCUUGUUGCAAAACUUGUUAUAGUUCGAACUUUUCUGGUUGUUGCUGCGGCUAGGAAUUGGGAGCUUCAUCAGAUGGAUGUUCACAAUGCUUUCUUACACGGUGAGCUCAAUGAAGAAGUUUACAUGCGCCUACCGCCUGGUUCCACCUCAAACAAAUCUGAAAUGGUUUGUCGUCUAAGAAAGUCAUUAUAUGGAUUAAAGCAAGCUCCACGUUGUUGGUUUGCAAAGUUGGCAGCGACUUUGAAGACUUACAGCUUUGCUCAAUCGAGCUUAGAUUAUUCUCUCUUUACCUUGUAUCGGGAUAGCAUACAUAUACUUGUGAUUGUGUAUGUUGACGAUAUAAUUGUUUCGGAAAACAACAGCGAAGCUAUUCGGGUGUUCAAGAUGUAUUUGAGUGAUUGUUUUUAUAUGAUAGAUUUGGGUCCAUUGAAAUAUUUUUUGGGUAUUGAAGUUGCAAGAAAUCCGACAGGAAUCUUCCUGUCUCAGCGGAAGUAUGUGUUAGAUAUUAUCUCUAAGGCGGGACUACUUGGUGCAAAACCGGACCCAUUUCCCUUGGAACCGAAUCAUCAGCUAGCUUUGGCCGAAGGCCUUUAUUUUUCUGAUCCUGUGAAAUAUCGACGACGCUUAGGCAGAUUAAUUUAUCUUUCCGCUACACGGCCAGAGUUGUCCUAUCCAGUUCAUAUGCUUUCUCAAUUUAUGCAGCAGCCGCGUGAGCGACAUUGGGAAGCAGCUCUGCGGGUAGUUCGCUAUCUGAAAAGUAACCCUGGUCAAGGUGUGCUUUUAAGAUUAGAUUGUGACUUGCAACUUUAUGGGUGGUGUGAUUUUGAUUAGGCAAGCUGCCGUCUAUCUCAGCGUUCUUUAUCUGGGUGGUUUGUCAUGCUUGGAUCCUCUCCUAUAUCUUGGAAAUCUAAGAAACAACACACAGUUGCGCGGUCUUCUGCUGUGGCCGAGUAUCGUGCCAUAGCAACAAUUACAUGUGAGCUCAAAUGGCUUAAAGGGUUAUUGAUGUCUCUCAGAGUUGAUCACUCACAACCCAUGCACCUGUAUUGUGACAGCCAGGCUGCUCUUCAUCUAGUUGCCAACCCCGUGUUUCAUGAACGGACCAAGCACAUCGAAGUUGACUGUCAUUUUGUUCGAGGCGAAAUUCAACGAAGAAACAUACGGCCUGCCUAUGUGUCUACUACUAUUUAGCUAGCUUAUAUCUUCACAAAGGCACUUGGCAGCAAAGAGUUCGAGUUCCUUCUUCACAAGUUGGGCAUUCGUGAUCUCCAUGCUCCAACUUAAGGGGGGGUGUUAACUCACGUGUGUGUAUAUAUAUAUAGCAAGUCACGUGUAUAUAUUAUUGGUUGUUAUAUCUUUCCUAGUUUGAUAGGAUUUCCUUGUGAACUAGGGUAAUUCUUAUCUAGGGUAAUUCUUAUCAACUAAUGUACAUAUAAAUAUUGAUCAAUAGAGAACAAAGAGAAGGACAAAAAGGGUGGUUUUCCAUCGUGAAUUUCUUCAAUAAUCAUUACAAAAUUUGUUUGAGAAACUGAUAUUUGGAGUUGAGUGGAAGAAAUUAAAAAAAUUAGAAAAAGGACAUUUUGGAAAUUAAAAUGGAUAUUUGAUAGAAAAGGGGCUCUAAAAGGAAAUCAAAGGGUGCUAAUAGUCCUAUUAUUUUAGAAAAAGUAGAGGAAUGGGCAAGUCUAGAUCAAUUCUUUUAGAGCGAAGCUCCUACCACCCUUUUAAAACUAUGUGAAACCCCACGUAUUAUAUGUAUUACUCUUAUUUUGAUAAAAUUUAGAGAAAAGGACAAAAGGUUAUAAUAGAGUUUAAUUAAUUAUGAAACAUAAUUUUUUAUAAUAAAAACAUAUAAUUUAUUGCUAUAUUGCCUCAUAAUUAUUUUGACUUUAAAAUAAUUAUUUAUGUCACAUAAAGAUGGGUUCAUGAUUUGUAAGUAUAAAAAUAUUUUAAUUUAAGUUAAAUUCAUAUUUAUCCUUUUAUGUAAUUUUCUCAAACUACUACAAAUAUAAGGUUUUAUAAGAAUUUUGAAAAGCGACCAACCAAAGUAGACUAUUUGAAAACCAUCACGUCAAGCCAUGAGGACAGUUAAUUGGAUUUUCUUAAUGUGAAUGCUCAUUUUUUUAAAAUUCCAGUCAAAGCUAUGCAUUGAACAAUUUGGCACCAUGAUCACCUCUGUAGGUUUCCUUAGUCUACAAAUACUAAAGUGAUCCGUGAAUUAUUUUGUCUCCGUUUCCAAGUAUUAGGUAGAAUUAAUGUACUAGGCAUUUUAGCCCUAGGAUAUGUGUGCGUGUGUGUAACAUAUAAAAGUCAAACACGUGAUUUGAAAAUUUUUCAAAGUUUAGAGAUAUUAGAUAGAUUUAGCCCCAGGAUAUCGCAUGAUAUUAAUGAUAACGAGACAAAGGCUUGAAAAAUCAAACAUUAAACACAGCGACACAAUGGCAUGAAAAAUCAAAGCAAACGAUAAUGUGUUUCAAAGGUUUAUCCUUUCUGUGAGUGAUAGGACUCCAUAAAGUAGAAAUUGAAGCAUGACUGAUCUAUACUUACCAACUAACUAAAUUAAGAUUAUGUUUGAAAAAUCAUACAUAACUUGGAAAAUAAUUAGGUCAUGUUUGGUUUGAAGAAAAGGAAGGAGAGGAAAAGAGUGGAAUGGAGAGGAAGGGAGAAGAAAAGAAUGGAAAAGAGUAGUGAAAUUAGAUUUUAUUGUUUGAUUUGAUAUAAAAUUUGAUAAAGAAAUGAAUUAUAAUUUUUUUCUUUAGAUAAAUUUAUCAUCUACCUUAAAUAUUAAACUAUUUAUGUUAGUAAUUAAAAAAAUAUAUACAUAAAAUAAAAUGGCGGUCCGGUGGCUCGCGGUGGAGGUCCGGCGAAUUCCGACGGUGGUCCGGCGGCUGUCACCCUUCAAUAGCCGAAUGCCUCCUCACUAAAGAUGAUAAGAGGUAGAAAAAUGAUAUUUAUUAAUAAUGCUUAAAGAACAGGCCAUAGAAACAAUUAUAAAACCAUAUGGUGUUGGCGUGAUUUUCAUUGGUUUUUUUAAUUAAUUGUAACACCAUAUGAUGUUAACUUAUUGUUAUCAUUAUUUAUUUAUUUAUUUUUACAACUGUAAGAUUAUAUGGUAUUAACGUGUUUUCUUUUGUCAUUAUGAAAAUUCUUUCUGGAUGAUGAAUAUUAUCACUCUUAAGAGGUAAGAUACUGAAAAAAAAAGUAAAUGAUAUAAUCUAAUCAAGUGAUCGUUCUCAAUCAUACACUAAAUCUAUCAAAUAUAUCCCUUAAAGAAACGGUCCAUAAAGCCUUCUUCUAGAUAAUAAUGUUUAUUACUCCAAAAAUGCUCCUGAAAACGCAGUUUAAAGAAAAAAAAAAAUAGUGGUAAACAACAAUAAAAUUUGUGAAGUGGACAACUAUUAUGGCAUUUUGCAAUAAUUGAGAAAUUUAAAUCAUAAGUGAUAUAAGAACUUUCUCACUAGUCAUACAGGAUAUUACUGUAUUAGUAUAAAUAAGCCAUUAGACGACCACAAUCCUCAUGGUUUUCUUGCAGGAAUAGAAAAUGGUUCUCUCGGAUGACACCAAAACAUCUUCUGAAAAUGGGUCGGAAAUCGACAGGGAGCGCAAGGCUUUUGAUGAUACGAAAGCCGGUGUCAAAGGACUAGUGGACGCUGGAGUAGUGAAUAUUCCCAGGAUAUUCAUUCGACCACCUGGAGAGCUUGCUGAGGAGUUGACGACUCACCAGGGGAAAUUACAAGCGCCAGUUAUCGAUCUUGAUGGCAUCAGAUACAAUAAACUUGAAGAUAUUGUUGAUCAAGUUCGGGCUGCUUGCGAAACAUGGGGUUUUUUCCAAGUUAUCAAUCAUGGGGUUCCCUUACACCUGAUGGAAGAGAUGAUUGAAGGAGUUCGCAAGUUUAAUGAACAAGAUGUUGAGGUGAAGAAACAGUUCUACACACGUGAGCCCACAAGAAACGUUAGAUUCUACAGCAACUUUGAUCUGUAUCACUCACGAACCGCAAGUUGGAAGGACACGUUGGCCAUUUUUACUUCGGGUACCAAAAGUUUGGAACCCAAUGAAUUGCCCAAAGUUUGCAGGUAUAUACAUAAUCGAUCCGUCUCUGUAUAUACAUUGCUGGUUAAUUAAGAGCCCUUUUUAAUUAAUGUUCAGUAUAUUGUAACCAGCCAUCAUGAGUUGUGAUAUCAUAUUCUUCUGUACAAUCGUUCAUCCGAAUUUGCAGAGAUACCAUAAUGGAGUACAUAAAAGAAGUCUCAAAAUUGGGUGAGACUCUGUUUGAAAUACUAUCAAUGGCUCUAGGACUGAAGCCUGAAUAUUUGAACGAUAUGGGAUGCUUCAAUAUAUACGGCUUUACCUGCAACUACUAUCCGCACUGCCCACAGCCAAAGCUGACUUUGGGAGCUAAAAGGCACUCUGAUCCUUCAUUCCUUACAAUUCUGUUGCAAGACCAAAUCGGUGGCCUUCAAGUCUUCUAUGAAAAUCAGUGGAUUGAUGUUAACCCUAUAUCAGGAGGCUUGGUGGUAAAUAUAGGGGACUUUCUCCAGGUUUGUCUUUGAAAAUAACGGAGACAAUUAAUCUUCCCAUCAUCUGCUUAUUUUUCGUGUUUUAACAGUAACUAUAUAUGCUAAUUAAAGUUUUCAAUAAUUAAUCAAUUCAGG